UGCAGUCGAGGGGCAGCAUGACCUAGCAUAGGUUGAUGGCGACCGGCGCACGGGUGAGUAACACGUAUCCACCUGCCGAUUAUUCCGGGAUAGCCUUUCGAAAGAAAGAUUAAUACUGGAUAGCAUAACGAGAAGGCAUCUUCUUGUUAUUAAAGAAUUUCGAUAAUCGAUGGGGAUGCGUUCCAUUAGUUUGUUGGCGGGGUAACGGCCCACCAAGACAUCGAUGGAUAGGGGUUCUGAGAGGAAGGUCCCCCACAUUGGAACUGAGACACGGUCCAAACUCCUACGGGAGGCAGCAGUGAGGAAUAUUGGUCAAUGGACGAGAGUCUGAACCAGCCAAGUAGCGUGAAGGAUGACUGCCCUAUGGGUUGUAAACUUCUUUUAUAUGGGAAUAAAGUGGGCCACGUGUGGCUUUUUGUAUGUACCAUACGAAUAAGGAUCGGCUAACUCCGUGCCAGCAGCCGCGGUAAUACGGAGGAUCCAAGCGUUAUCCGGAUUUAUUGGGUUUAAAGGGAGCGUAGCGGAUUAUUAA
rnacentral:rRNA from 1 species